rnacentral:rRNA from 1 species
UACGAAGGGGGCUAGCGUUGCUCGGAAUCACUGGGCGUAAAGGGUGCGUAGGCGGGUCUUUAAGUCAGAGGUGAAAUCCUGGAGCUCACUCCAGAACUGCCUUUGAUACUGAGGAUCUUGAGUUCGGGAGAGGUGAGUGGAACUGCGAGUGUAGAGGUGAAAUUCGUAGAUAUUCGCAGGAACACCAGUGGCGAAGGCGGCUCACUGGACCACAACUGACGCUGAGGUGCGAAAGCGUGGGAG